rnacentral:rRNA from 1 species
UACGUAGGUGACAAGCGUUGUCCGGAUUUACUGGGCGUAAAGAGCGCGCAGGCGGUCGUUCAAGUCGAGUGUGAAAGCCCCCGGCUCAACUGGGGAGGGUCAUUCGAUACUGAUCGACUCGAAGGCAGGAGAGGGUAGUGGAAUUCCCGGUGUAGUGGUGAAAUGCGUAGAUAUCUGGAGGAACACCGGUGGCGAAGGCGGCAUCCUGGACCGGUAUUGACGCUGAGGCGCGAAAGCCAGGGGAGCAAAGCGGG